UGACCGCCUGGGGAGUACGGCCGCAAGGUAAAACUCAAAGGAAUUGACGGGGACCCGCACAAGCGGUGGAUUAUGUGGAUUAAUUCGAUGCAACGCGAAAAACCUUACCUACCCUUGACAUGCUAGGAAGUCCGCAGAGAUGUGGAUGUGCCCGAAAGGGAACCUAGACACAGGUGCUGCAUGGCUGUCGUCAGCUCGUGUCGUGAGAUGUUGGGUUAAGUCCCGCAACGAGCGCAACCCUUGCCAUUAGUUGCGACAUUUAGUUGAGCACUCUAAUGGGACCGCCGGUGACAAACCGGAGGAAGGUGGGGAUGACGUCAAGUCCUCAUGGCCCUUAUGGGUAGGGCUUCACACGUAAUACAAUGGUCGGUACAGAGGGCUGCCAACCCGCGAGGGGGAGCUAAUCCCAGAAAGCCGAUCGUAGUCCGGAUUGUAGUCUGCAACUCGACUGCAUGAAGCCGGAAUCGCUAGUAAUCGCGGAUCAGCAUGUCGCGGUGAAUACGUUCCCGGGUCUUGUACACACCGCCCGUCACACCAUGGGAGUGGGUUCCACCAGAAGUAGGUAGCCUAACCGCAAGGAGGGCGCUUACCACGGUGAGAUUCAUGACUGGGGUGAAGUCGUAACAAGGUAACC
rnacentral:rRNA from 1 species